GAAGUAGACCAGGCAACCGCGGAAUCGAAAGAUUCCGAGGAAAGUCCGAACACCACAGGGCAGGGUGCUGGGUAAUACCCAGUCAGGGUAACCUGAAGGAUAGUGUCACAGAAAACAGACCGCCCAUAUAAGGUUAAUGAAAAUUCUUAUAUGGGUAAGGGUGAAAAGGUGAGGUAAGAGCUCACCAGCAGGAAGGGUGACCUUCCUGGCUUGACAAACCCCACCCGGUGCAAGGCCAAAUAGGAGGGGUUGAGGUGGCCCGCUGACCCUCGGGUUGGCCGCUUGAGGUAAGGAGUAAUCCUUACCCUAGAUAGAUGGUUGCCGCCCCUAAAAAGGGGAACAGAAUUCGGCUUAUGGUCUGCUUCUUCC
rnacentral:RNase_P_RNA from 1 species